GAUGAACGCUGGCGGCGUGCUUAACACAUGCAAGUCGAACGGUGAAGCAGGAGCUUGCUCCUGUGGAUCAGUGGCGAACGGGUGAGUAACACGUGAGCAAUCCUGCCCUGGACUCUGGGAUAAGCGUUGGAACGACGUCUAAUACCGGAUACGAGACGCGAAGGCAUCUUCAGCGUACUGGAAAGAACUUCGGUCCAGGA
rnacentral:rRNA from 1 species